UAGCGUGCUGAGGCGAUACCUGCCGAACUGAAACAUCUAAGUAGGCAGAGGAAUAUAAAUCAAACGAGAUUCCCUGAGUAGCGGCGAGCGAAACGGGAAGAGCCCAAACCCAAUGUUUACAUUGGGGGUUGUAGGACUUGCAACAUGAAAGUGGAUCUUUAGCCAAACAUCUCUGGAAAGUGAGGCGACACAGGGUGAUAGCCCCGUAGGCGAAAAAGAGAAGCAAUCUAGCGAGCACCUGAGUAGGGCCGGACACGUGAAACCCGGUCUGAAUCUGGGGAGACCACUCUCCAAGGCUAAAUACUCGUCGAUGACCGAUAGUGAACAAGUACCGUGAGGGAAAGGUGAAAAGAACCCCUGUUAGGGGAGUGAAAUAGAAUCUGAAACCAGUAGCUUACAAGCGGUCAAAGGCCUAUGCCCAUUUUAUGGGAAUGGCUAAUGGCGUGCCUUUUGCAUGAUGAGCCAGCGAGUUGCGUUAUAUGGCAAGGUUAAAGGACCUACGUUCUGGAGCCGAAGCGAAAGCAAGUGUGAAUAGCGCGAUAUAGUCAUAUGACGCAGACACGAAACCAAGUGAUCUAUCCAUGGUCAGGUUGAAGCAAAGGUAAAACUUUGUGGAGGACCGAACCAGUAUCUGUUGAAAAAGAUUUGGAUGAACUGUGGAUAGGGGUGAAAGGCCAAUCAAACUUGGAGAUAUCUUGUUCUCUCCGAAAUAACUUUCGGGUUAGCCUCGGUGUUAUGCUAUCUAGGGGUAGAGCACUGAAUUCACGCGGGGGCCUACCGGCCUACCAAAGGAAAUCAAACUCCGAAUACUAGAUAGCGAACCGGGAGAUAGACAGUGGGGGAUAAGCUUCAUUGUCAAGAGGGGAACAGCCCAGACCGUCGACUAAGGCCCCAAAUUCUAUGCUAAGUGGGUAAGGAAGUAAAGUUUCUAAAACAGUUGGGAUGUUGGCUUAGAGGCAGCAACCAUUUAAAGAGUGCGUAACAGCUCACCAAUCGAGAAACUUUGCGCCGAUAAUUAGCGGGACUCAAGUAUAGAGCCGAAGUCACGGGUGCACGCAAUAGCGUGUGCGGUAGGAGAGCGUAGUAUAGGCACAGAAGGUGUACCGUAAGGAGCACUGGAGCGUAUACUAGUGAUGAUGCAUGGCAUAAGUAACGAUAAAGGAAGUGAAAAUCUUCCUCGCCGAAAACCUAAGGUUUCCAGGGUAAAGCUCGUCUUCCCUGGGUUAGCCGGCCCCUAAGCCGAGGCGGAAACGCGUAGGUGAUGGGAAACAGGUUAAAUAUUCCUGUGCCACCAAAGGCUAUGGAGAUUGGAGUGACAAAGUACGUAAAGCACGCGAACUGUUGGAUAUGUUCGUAGGGCUAUGAGGGAGUCUAGUAGGCAAAUCCGCUAGAAUAAUCCUAGGUAGCUCUCAAGGGGAAUCUUCGGAGGAACCAAUGGUGUGGAGCUAGGCUUUCAAGAAAGAACUUCUAUCCGCUGUAGGUGACCGUACCAAAACCGACACAGGUGGGUGUGAAGAAUAUUCUCAGGCGCGCGAGAGAACUCUAGUUAAGGAACUCGGCAAAUUAUUCCCGUAACUUCGGAAGAAGGGAAGCCACAGGAUGUGAGUGAACUUGCUUCACAAAGCAUCAGGUGGCCGCAGAGAAAUGGCCCAGGCGACUGUUUAACAAAAACACAGCACUAUGCAAAGCCGCAAGGCGCAGUAUAUGGUGUGAUGCCUGCCCAAUGCCAAAAGGUCAAAGGGAAGUGUUAGCCUUCGGGCGAAGCACCGAACCCAAGCCCUGGUGAAUGGCGGCCGUAACAAUAACGGUCCUAAGGUAGCGAAAUUCCUUGUCGGGUAAGUUCCGACCUGCACGAAUGGCAUAACGAUCUGGGCGCUGUCUCAACUAGAGACUCGGUGAAAUUGUAGUAGCGGUGUAGAUGCCGUUUACCCACAACGGGACGGAAAGACCCCGUGAACCUUUACUGUAUCCUGAUAUUGGCUCUUGAUGUAGCAUGUGUAGGAUAACCAGGAGACGUCGAAGGCGGCUCGUCAGGGCUGUUGGAGUCAUCCUUGAAAUACUGGUCUUGUUACAUUGAGAAUCUAACGUUUUCCUGUGAAUCCAGGUAACGGACAUUGUCAGGUGGGCAGUUUUACUGGGGCGGUAUCCUCCUAAAAAGUAACGGAGGAGUCCAAAGCUUACCUCAUCUUGGUUGGCAAUCAAGAGAAGAGCGUAAAGGUAUAAGGUAAGUUGACUGCGAGACCUACAAGUCGAGCAGAGACGAAAGUCGGGCUUAGUGAUCCGGCGGUGGAAAGUGGAAUCGCCGUCGCUCAACGGAUAAAAGGUACUCCGGGGAUAACAGGCUUAUCGCCACCAAGAGUUCAUAUCGACGUGGCGGUUUGGCACCUCGAUGUCGGCUCAUCGCAUCCUGGGGCUGUAGCAGGUCCCAAGGGUUUGGCUGUUCGCCAAUUAAAGCGGUACGCGAGCUGGGUUCAAAACGUCGUGAGACAGUUUGGUCCCUAUCUGUUGUGGGCGUAGGAUACUUGAGAGGAGCUGCUCCUAGUACGAGAGGACCGGAGUGGACGAACCAAUGGUGAACCAGUUGUUCUGCCAAGAGCAUAGCUGGGUAGCUACGUUCGGAAAGGAUAAGCGUUGAAAGCAUCUAAACGCCAAGCCUCCCUCAAGAUAAGGUAUCCCACGAGACCCCAUGUAGACUACGUGGUUGA
rnacentral:rRNA from 1 species